rnacentral:rRNA from 1 species
CACGUAGGGUGCGAGCGUUGUCCGGAAUUAUUGGGCGUAAAGAGCUCGUAGGCGGUGUGUCGCGUCGGCCGUGAAAACCUGCAGCUUAACUGUGGGCGUGCGGUCGAUACGGGCAUCACUGGAGUUCGGCAGGGGAGACUGGAAUUCCUGGUGUAGCGGUGAAAUGCGCAGAUAUCAGGAGGAACACCGGUGGCGAAGGCGGGUCUCUGGGCAUCUCCUGACGCUGAGGCGCGAAAGCGUGGGGAGCAAACGGG